GUGCGGGGCCGCCCUGCUCUGUGCCCCUCGGCGCUGCUCCGCGCUCUGCGCCCACAGGUACGAACACAAGGCGAGCGAGGCAAGAGUCGGUGAAACUGAAGAGAACUGGACGUUUGGCUCCAUAAGGACCUAUGGAUUAUGGCAGGAAAGGUGAAGUGGGUCACUGAUAUCGAGAAGUCCGUGCUGAUCAAUAACUUUGAAAAGAGAGGAUGGGUCCAGGUGACAGAAAGCGAGGACUGGAAUUUUUACUGGAUGAGCGUGCAGACCAUCCGAAACAUCUUCAGUGUCGAAACAGGCUAUCGGCUCUCAGACGAUCAAAUAGUCAACCACUUUCCCAACCACUACGAACUGACGCGGAAGGACCUGAUGGUGAAGAACAUUAAAAGAUACAGGAAAGAGCUGGAGAAAGAAGGGAGUCCUCUGGCAGAGAAAGAUGAGAAUGGAAAAUACCUCUAUCUGGACUUUGUCCCAGUCACCUACAUGCUGCCUGCCGACUACAACCUGUUCGUGGAGGAGUUCAGGAAAAGUCCCUCCAGCACCUGGAUCAUGAAGCCUUGUGGCAAAGCCCAGGGCAAGGGCAUCUUUCUGAUCAACAAGCUCUCGCAAAUCAAAAAGUGGUCCCGGGACAGCAAAACAUCCUCGUUUGUGUCUCAGUCCACGAAGGAAGCCUACGUGAUCUCUCUCUACAUCAACAACCCGUUACUAAUCGGCGGGAGGAAGUUCGACCUGCGCUUGUACGUCCUGGUGUCCACGUACCGCCCGCUGCGCUGUUACAUGUACAAGCUCGGCUUCUGCCGCUUCUGCACAGUGAAGUACACCCCCAGCACCAGCGAGCUGGACAACAUGUUCGUGCACCUCACCAACGUGGCCAUUCAGAAACACGGGGAGGACUACAACCACAUCCACGGGGGCAAGUGGACAGUGAGCAACCUGCGGCUGUACCUGGAGAGCACCCGAGGCAAGGAGGUGACCAGCAAGCUGUUCGACGAGAUCCACUGGAUCAUCGUGCAGUCGCUGAAGGCCGUGGCGCCGGUGAUGAACAACGACAAGCACUGCUUUGAGUGCUACGGCUACGACAUCAUCAUAGACGACAGGCUGAAGCCCUGGCUGAUCGAGGUUAACGCGUCCCCGUCGCUCACCUCCAGCACGGCCAACGAUCGGAUCCUUAAGUAUAACCUGAUCAACGACACCCUCAACAUCGCAGUCCCUAACGGCGAGAUUCCAGACUGUAAAUGGAACAAGUCCCCCCCGAAGGAGGUCCUGGGCAAUUACGAAGUUCUGUACGACGAAGAGCUGGCGCAGGGUGACGGGGCUGACCGUGAGCUGAGAAGUCGUUCGGGCCAGUCGGUAGGGCCCCGAGGGGGCCGCUCGAGAGACUCGGGGAGAGCGGUCCUCACCACCUGGAAGUGAGCGCAGGAGGGGAAACAGGCAGCCGAAAGUAUUCCGCAGUCACCUGCCUUUACAAAGACCUCUGCCUCAGUGCGCUCGGAAGACAGCAGUCUUGUCAUCCCAGCUUUGUGGGUGGACAUCUCGUGCUCUGAGCCUCUGCGUCGGACCGGGCUGGAGGCCUGGCUCUGCCAUUCACUAGUUAGUCCCAAGGCUGCCGGCGGCUCUUUGGACCUUGGUUUCCUACGUGUAUCAAAAGGGUGUUAAUUCCACUUGCCUGAGAAGUCACAGGUGCCAGUGCCGGCCCCGCCCGGCUAGGGACAGCGACUGUCUUCCUAUCCAGGGGGGUGUCACCCCUGUGGCCGUGGCCUCCACCUCGGCUUCCACAGCGUCCACCUGCUGGUUCUACAACCCAGCUUC